ACCUUCACAUUUCAAAAGAGUGAGUCUGUCCAGGCGUGGUGGCUCAUGCCUGUAAUCUCAGCACUUUGGGAGGCCAAGGCGAGCGGAUCACACAAGGUUGUCUUUGAAGGGAGACCUCAGGUGCACCUCAUGGCUUCCACAGCACCUCAUCUUCUUCCUACAAAAGAGCAAAAUAAAACCAAAGGGUCUUCUGAAGUCACUGAGACAAUAGCUGAUCUCAUUGGGCCAAUGAGUCUUCUAAAAAUUGCAGUUCCUUCUCCCUUGGCAUUCCACAGUCAAGUAAACUUACACGUAUUGUCUGGAAGAAUGAAUCCCAUUCCUCCUCCAUCUUCUUUGGCUCUGGUGUGGGCUUAUGUAAUCUGGAUACUAGCCCAUAAAGUUGCUGUGUUUAGUAAUGUCAUUUCUCCGUGUCUGUUGGGGGCUGGUUUCACGAUCCCCUAAGGAUAGCAAAAUCUCUGGAUGCUCAUGGCCUUUAUAUAAAAGGGCACGAUAUUUGCAUACAAUCUACACAUCCCCCCACAUACUUUAAAUCAUCUCUACAUUACUCAUAAUACUGAAUACAAUGUAAAUCCUAUGUAAAUUGUUAUUAUGCUGUGUUGGUUUUUUCGUCUGUGAUAUUUUCAGUAUUGCAUUGUUUUGUUGUGAAAACAGGGUCUUGCUCUGUCACCCAGGCUGAAGUGCAGUGGUAUGAUCCUAGCUCAGUGUAACCUCAAACUCCUGGGCUCAAGUGAUCCUCCUGCCUUGGCCUCCCAGAGUUCUGGGAUUACAGGCAUGAGCCACCAUGCCCAGCCCGUAAUGGUUUUUUGUUGUUGUCUGAGACAGGGUCGUACAUUAUUGCCAAAGCUGGAGUACAGUGGCAAAUACAUGGCUCACUGCAGCCUCAACUUCCUUGGUUCAAACAAUCCUCCUGCCUCAGCCUUUAGAGUAGCUGGGAGCAUAAGAGUGCACCCCUAUGCCUAGCUAAUUUUUUUAUUUUUUGUAGAGUUGGAAUCUCCACAUUUGCCCAGGCUGAUCUUAAACUUAUGGGCUCAACCUAUCCUCCCACCUUAGCCUCCUAAAGUGCUGGGGUUAUAGAUGACUGCGCCUGGCCCCUUGUUAAUUUAUCAUUAGUUUUUUUUUUCCCCCAAUGUUUUUGAUCCAUGGUUGCUUGAAUCUGGAUAUGGGACCUGCAUGCAGAUUAGAAAGGCCAACUGUAUUCUGGUGUUCUUCACAGGACAAGUGACACUCCCUGCUUGCUGGGUCAGUGGAUUGUCCACGCAUCUUUGUGGCCACCUGGCUUAGGAAACUCACAAGGUCCUCAUCAUUUGGAGGUGUUUCCCUGUGAGUGCCCUCAGCCCUAGGCUUUCUUACGUGUGCCUAUACUGGAGGAUGUGUAUGGGAGUAGAAAUAUCUUUCCUAUGUUUGUUAUCUUUCUCUCUUUAGUUAUUGCCAAAAGACAACCUGGAGAGGUUUUCUGUUCUCUUUGACGCAGACCUUCAAUCCCUUCCCCAAACUGUCAUGUGGUACCUCUGCUGUCUUCUACCAGGGUCUCCUUUCUCACUCUUGAGGGUCAGUGUUCCACUACGCUGGGUCCCCAGGGUCUCUGAGCCAUUUUGUCUUUGGGCUUGGUGAGCACCAUGUGCAAGAUUUCCAAGUCUUUCAAAGCUUGUGAAAAUGUUUGCAAUCUGAAAAAAUAUUACGGUGCCAAAAGAAAAACAAAUGCAAAAUGAAAUUAAUUUCAAAUACAAUUACAAAAGUCAUACGAAAUUGUUAUAGCAAAACUAAAUUGCUGUUUAAUGUGGAACUUGAGCAUAUUUUAAUGUAUUUGAUCGUAUUAAAUUUGGUAUAGAAGGAAUGUACCUUAACACAAUAAAGAAGCAUCUAUGACAAA